AACCUAUUUCUCUUGAUGCUUGCAGUAAUAAGAGAACAUUUCAAUUUCCAAAAGUCAGCAAUCGCCGUUGGAAGAUUUUCAGAGAGUGUAUACGGAACAUUGAACAAAAUCAACAGGCAUCUCCUUGAGACCCUCUUGGGCUCUCAGCUGAUGUUCCUUAUUCAGUUCCUUUCUUUUUCUAAUUUGGGUGGGGGUUUGGUGUGUGUGUGUGUGGGGGGGGGUGUAGUAGUGUUAGUCAAAUAAAUACAUAUGAGCCUAGCUAGCUAGCAACUCCCAAAUAUGAUUUUUAACUGAAUCUGAAGUCAUCAUCUGUAUAAAAUCAACACAAUCCUCGUGUCACUUGCCAGGACAUUGAACCAGUGUAGUAAACAGAAAUGAAAUUUUUCUAACUGCUGUAUAAUGAUUUCCUAACAAAAUAGUCUAAAGAAGGAUGGAGAAAAAUCAGAUCCCUCACCAAAUUCCUACACCUUAAACAGGAAUUACAAGAAUACAGAGAUAAACACAGGACAACAUAACAAGAACGUGUGAUCACACACGAGAACAGAUUACUCAAAUAAACCAUCGAAGCACAGUUUUUUAAGUGUCUCAUGACCAACUGAUUGUUGUCCAUUCAUCAAAUCAAUGGGAUUUAAUCUGAGAAAAAAAUAAUAUGACCCUUUUUAGCAAAAUAUUGAGACAGUUCAGUCAACAAGGAAGCAGAGUAGCAUACCCCUUCUUCACGCUGUUUUCUCAAUUCCUGAAUAUGUUCAUACGUCUUGUCCCUCUUCUCCACGACUUCCUUCAAUUCCUCAUCCAAUAAGUUGAUCUGCUUGCUUAUGGCGUCAAUCUGAUCAUCUAUUUGCUUAAGCUUUGCCUUAACCUCCUGCUGCCCCUUACGAACUCCAUCCAGGCCAACACUCAUAAGCUACAGCACCACAAAGUGUGUUAACAGUUACAACAGGCAGAUUACGGCAAAAUAACAUGAUAUAUUUUAGGCAUAGCAUAUUUUGCAUCAAUAUAAGAGAAACAUAACCUAAAAGCCUUACUUUGACCUGGUUCUGGAUUGAUUCCUUUUCGCCCAAUGAUUCAUGAAUCUGAGCCCUUGCUGCAGCCUUUUCUUUAACAGCUUCCCUUGUCCCUUCAAGUUGUUUGAUUUCCCGCAGAAUUUGCUUCUCUUCGUUCAGAGGAAUGCUUUCAUGCUGAAUGCGGUACUGCAGACUCUUAAUCUACUCAAUUGCCAAAAUAAAAUUGGCAUUAUUCGUUUGCAAUGGAACUUAAUGACUAAAGGCAAAGGAGAAAAGCUAAGAGUAAUGACGGAACAAACCUAAGCUGAAGGAUAAUUAAAGUUAUAAACAAGUGCUUACAAGACUAUUGAGCUCCUGCUCGGAUGAACAUACUAUAGGACCCCUCUCUCGGCCUGCAUCCCUAGCACCGCGGAGCUGGCCUAAGGCCUGUUGCAGAGGUUCCAUUUCCUUUCUUUUCUCAUCAAUAGUACUCCAAAAUUCCUUAUUCUCAGCACUGAGAGAUUUCCUUUGUUCAAUUACCUUCGAUCGUUCUGCCUGCAAAUACUCGAGGAGUUAUUUGAUUAUAGCUUUCAUACUUCCACAAGAACAGGGUUUAGACAAAUUGGCAACUAACAAAAAGGACCAUGCAAUAGGCAAUAUCACCUUUAUGUAGCUUGCUGGAUUAUAUUUUCAAGAGCAAAUUGUAGGGCAGCAAUGACAUAAUAAAAAAUCUGAAAAAUAAGUCACUAAGCAUGAGUCUAUUGCAACUUCUGUUACCAUCUUUUGUCUUGCACUUAUCGGUGUCCAACUGGGAACUAUAUAUUGCUUUGCUAAGUUUAUCCCUGAAGUGAUCCAUCACUUUACCAAAGUGUUCUCACCGGUAAGAUAACAAGUUGGCAUGCAAGAGAAAAGUUCUCUUUUUAGGUAAGAGACACAGCUUGCAGUUUAAAACACUUAACACGGAUAUGUGUAUGCAUGAAUUGAACUGCAAAUCAAGAAUGUAUACAAGGCAAGAAAAUGAGAAAGAGAGAUAUGAGGAUAAGAUCAUGUUAUAAACAACUCCUGAACUUUGACAGUCAAGAGAGAGAGGACUAUGUUAAACACCGAGUAACAUAAGCAAUAUAUGACCUUGAAAUAUUCAGCUGAAUUUAGAUCACCCAAAAACUCACCCUUUUAGCCUUUAACUUUUCAAUAAUCUGAGAUCUUGCUUGGUUCUUUUUCUGUAGCUC
rnacentral:lncRNA from 1 species